AAUGGUAGAGGCGCAAAAAACAUCAGUAUCUGUUCAGAUUUCCCGGUCUGGCCACCGCUGAGCAGGAGAAAGGGUUUUUUGCCGAAGAUGCAGAUUCCGGCCCGGGAAUUUGUAUCUGGGCUGGCGGAGAAUAUCCGCCGGACUGUCACAGCAAUGUGGAGUGCUAUCA
rnacentral:ncRNA from 1 species